AGGGGAAGGGAAACGCUUUCAGCAGACCUGGGCUGCUCCUCAGGACGUGUCCGCAUGUCCCUCUUGCUUUCCAGUUGCACGCAUGGGCCCACCACUGGGCUUAAGAGACUAUGCGCCCGGCAUGCUGCCCGGACGCCACGACCUGCCGCUACAUCCCCGCGAGUUCUUGCCGAGACCUGUGCCAUUCAGGCCUCCAGGCCCGCUCGGCGCCCGAGCAUAUUUCAUUUCGGAUCUGCGAAUGCCACCCGCUGGACUCCAAGACUACCGACCACCACCUGCCGGGCCCCAGGAUAACCCACCGAUGCCUGCCGGGCCCCAGGACAACCCACCAUGCCUGCCGGGCCCCAGGACAACCCACCACCGCCUGCUGGGCGCCAGGCCUACCCACCACCGCCUGCCGGGCCCCAGGACAACCCACCACCGCCUGCCGGGCCCCAGGACUACCAACCACCAAGUGCCGGGCUCCCGGACUACCCACCGCCGCCUGCCCGGCCCCACGACUACCCACCGCCGCCUGCGGGGGUCCCAGGAAAACCCACCACCAAGUGCCGGGCCUCAGGACCAUGGAUGGCCGCCCUCUGCGAGCCUAAACUUCGCAUGCUGUGACAUUCCCAGAGCCGACUUCGAUCCCGGCCCUGGCCCCGUGGCCAACAGCAGCUCCCGCGGCUCCUCCCCAGCGAAGGACAUGGACAACGCCAAGGCUGCUGUGCCUCCUGGUCCUUAGGCUGAUGCCUUGGCAGCCUUCACACCGCAUGGGGCCGCCUGCAAUGGUCAGAGCUCCAUGGACUGCCUCCCAAGCAGCCCAGGCACAGGCGCCUCCGCCAGCCCCUCCCUGUGCAGUGUCAACAGGCCGAGGUAGCUUCCUGUUCUCCCCAGAUACCCCGGGACCCUGGGAGCCCUUGUGCCGCCCCUGUCGUGCCCAGGGCCACGCUCAUGCUGGCAAGAGUGCAGCGAGCUGGUGCAGCGCCCCGCUGGCACCUCUGGAGCUCAUCUCUGCACACAAGUGGG
rnacentral:lncRNA from 1 species